rnacentral:rRNA from 1 species
CGUUAAGUUUAGUAGUGGCGACCGGCGCACGGGUAAGUAACACGUACCCAACCUCGCGAUAACUCGGGGAUAGCCUUUCGAAAGAAAGAUUAAUACCCGAUGGCAUAAUAGAACCGCAUGGUUUGAUUAUUAAAGAAUUUCGGUUAUCGAUGGGGAUGCGUUCCAUUAGGCAGUUGGUGGGGUAACGGCCCACCAAACCUUCGAUGGAUAGGGGUUCUGAGAGGAAGGUCCCCCACAUUGGAACUGAGACACGGUCCAA